AGUGAGCGCGAUAAGGGCAUUCGGUGGAUGCCUUGGCACCAGGAGGCGAUGAAGGACGUAGCACGCUGCGAAAAGCUACGGGGAGCCGCGAGCAGGCUUUGAUCCGUAGAUAUCCGAAUGGGGCAACCCACCCGCAAGGGUAUCAUCAUCUGAAUACAUAGGAUGAUGAGGCGAACCCGGGGAACUGAAACAUCUCAGUACCUGGAGGAAAAGACAUCAAUUGAGAUUCUGCUAGUAGUGGCGAGCGAACGCGGAACAGGCCAGUGGUCUUUGGAAGAGAAGCAGAACACUCUGGAAAGGGUGGCCAUAGUGGGUGAUAGUCCCGUAUGCGUAGUGCUUUUAAAGAUCCUUGAGUAGGGCGGGGCACGUGAAACCCUGUCUGAACAUGGGGGGACCACCCUCCAAGCCUAAAUACUCCCUGGUGACCGAUAGUGAACAAGUACCGUGAGGGAAAGGUGAAAAGCACCCCGACGAGGGGAGUGAAAUAGACCUGAAACCGAAUGCCUACAAGCAGUCGGAGCCUCUUAUGGGGUGACGGCGUACCUUUUGUAUAAUGGGUCAGCGAGUUUCUGUUUGCAGCAAGCUUAAGCC
rnacentral:rRNA from 1 species